UACGUAGGGAGCAAGCGUUGUCCGGAUUCACUGGGUGUAAAGGGUGCGCAGGCGGGAGAGUAAGUCAGAGGUGAAAUCUCACAGCUUAACUGUGAAACUGCCUUUGAUACUGCUUUUCUUGAGUUCGAGAGAGGUUGAUGGAAUUCCAGGUGUAGCGGUGAAAUGCGUAGAUAUCUGGAAGAACACCAGUGGCGAAGGCGGUCAACUGGCCCGUAACUGACGCUCAGGCACGAAAGCGUGGGUAGCGAACAGG
rnacentral:rRNA from 1 species